rnacentral:rRNA from 1 species
CGAAAGUCUGACGGAGCAACGCCGCGUGAGUGAUGACGGCCUUCGGGUUGUAAAGCUCUGUUAAUCGGGACGAAAGGCCUUCUUGCGAAUAGUGAGAAGGAUUGACGGUACCGGAAUAGAAAGCCACGGCUAACUACGUGCCAGCAGCCGCGGUAAUACGUAGGUGGCAAGCGUUGUCCGGAAUUAUUGGGCGUAAAGCGCGCGCAGGCGGAUAGGUCAGUCUGUCUUAAAAGUUCGGGGCUUAACCCCGUGAUGGGAUGGAAACUGCCAAUCUAGAGUAUCGGAGAGGAAAGUGGAAUUCCUAGUGUAGCGGUGAAAUGCGUAGAUAUUAGGAAGAACACCAGUGGCGAAGGCGACUUUCUGGACGAAAACUGACGCUGAGGCGCGAAAGCCAGGGGAGCGAACGGGAUUAGAUACCCCGGUAGUCCUGGCCGUAAACGAUGGGUACUAGGUGUAGGAGGUAUCGACCCCUUCUGUGCCGGAGUAACGCCAAUAAGUACCCCGCCUGGGGAGUAC